rnacentral:rRNA from 1 species
UACGAAGGGGGCUAGCGUUGCUCGGAAUCACUGGGCGUAAAGCGCACGUAGGCGGAUCUUAAGUCAGGGGUGAAAUCCUGGAGCUCAACUCCAGAACUGCCUUUGAUACUGGGGAUCUCGAGUCCGGGAGAGGUGAGUGGAACUCCGAGUGUAGAGGUGAAAUUCGUAGAUAUUCGGAAGAACACCAGUGGCGAAGGCGGCUCAC